rnacentral:rRNA from 1 species
UACGUAGGGAGCAAGCGUUGUCCGGAAUCAUUGGGCGUAAAGAGCGUGUAGGCGGCUUCACAGGUCUGCUGUGAAAACUCGAGGCUCAACCUCGAGCUGUCGGUGGAAACCGUGGGGCUAGAGUCCGGAAGAGGAGAGUGGAAUUCCCGGUGUAGCGGUGAAAUGCGCAGAUAUCGGGAAGAACACCCGUGGCGAAGGCGGCUCUCUGGGACGGUACUGACGCUGAGACGCGAAAGCGUGGGGAGCAAACAGG